CUUACAAACUGUAUCUAUAUUGAAGCCGAUGGAUUUUAGGCUGUAUACAUCUUGUCAAUUUAUUGUACUUAGACACAGUACUAUAUCAACUCAUGACUUGAGAUUCUAUUCCAGUCCUUUACCAAAUGAUUCAGUAUCUAUGCAAUUUUCCUCUCUCUCUGAAGCUGAUGGAAUUUAGGCUACCUAUAUGUUGUAAACUGUUUACGCUUGGACAAAUACAGCAAUUGACAUUUGAGAUUCCAGUCCAGUCCUGCCCACCCAAAGCGUAACCCCCUAUACACCAAAUGGUUCUUCUUGACUUGGCUAUGGUCAUGUGAGGUUCUUCUACCCUGACUUUUGUUCUUGCCAACACUGUCUGCUCAGUUUUUGGCAAUAAUGCUUCAUUCCAUGGCCUAAAAGAAGGCUUAUUACAGCAUUGGAAUUGACCUCUUCUUCUGAGGACGACCUAUGAGUUGGACUGAUAAAAGUCCCAACAUUCUUUUUUCAUUAUUGUGUGAUUCACUGACUGCUUGGAAAUGUUAUUGGGGAGACC
rnacentral:lncRNA from 1 species